AAGGCUUUAGCUUAAUUAAAGUGUCUGAGUUGCAUUCAGGAGAUGUGGGAUAAAGUCCUGCAAGUCUUA
rnacentral:tRNA from 1 species